rnacentral:piRNA from 1 species
UGCUAACCUUAACGUUUGGAUCGGGCACA